UUGAUAGGUGAAGUUCCUCUUGGAAGAGUGCCUUGAGAAAUUACUACUUACAACCUUGUAAGUUGUAACUGACUCAAAAAGACAGCUACUACCACCACUCCUUCAGAUAUGGUCCAUUUAAUUUCCUCACUGCCUAUUUAUUCCAAGGAAUCUUCAACAUGAUGUUAUGUGUUGGAACAACAAUACUUCCACUACAGUUCAUUUAUAGGAUAUCUAUACCUUACCAUCGGACGAGCAGAAUCAAGUUCCAUGCAAGAUGCCAAUUUCUGAUGGAUUUGGUAGUCAAAUAAUAUCAGUUCUCCACCAGGGGUUUGAUACAUGAUCUCUUGGGACCUCCCAACUCAGAUUACGGCAGCAACAACCACUUUCAUUGUUCUUGGUUUGCAGAUUAUAUUUAUAACUUUUGUCUUUCUUAUUGACUCUAUGUGAGCCAUGUAUAAUUGUUUCUCUAAGCUGCUGUUGGGAAAUAAAAAUGUCUUUCUUAUUGUUUCUUAUUGCAGCUGUUGUACCC